rnacentral:rRNA from 1 species
GUCUUGCGGAUGCUACACAUGCAGUCGAACGGAAUCUUCGGAUUUAGUGGCGGACGGGUGAGUAACGCGUGAGAAUCUGCCUUCAGGAUGGGGACAACAGUUGGAAACGACUGCUAAUACCCGAUAUGACGAAAGUUGAAAGAUUUAUCGCCUGGAGAUGAGCUCGCGUCAGAUUAGCUAGAUGGUGUGGUAACGGCGCACCAUGGCGACGAUCUGUAGCUGGUCUGAGAGGAUGAGCAGCCACACUGGGACUGAGACACGGCCCAGACUCCUACGGGAGGCAGCAGUGGGGAAUUUUCCGCAAUGGGCGCAAGCCUGACGGAGCAAUACCGCGUGAGGGAGGAAGGCUCUUGGGUCGUAAACCUCUUUUCUCAGGGAAGAACAAAAUGACGGUACCUGAGGAAUCAGCAUCGGCUAACUCCGUGCCAGCAGCCGCGGUAAUACGGAGGAUGCAAGCGUUAUCCGGAAUGAUUGGGCGUAAAGCGUCCGUAGGUGGUCAUGUAAGUCUGUGGUUAAAGCGUGUAGCUCAACUACAUAACGGCCAUGGAAACUACAUAACUUGAGUAAAGUAGGGGUAGAGGGAAUUCCCAGUGUAGCGGUGAAAUGCGUAGAGAUUGGGAAGAACACCGGUGGCGAAAGCGCUCUACUGGACUUAAACUGACACUGAGGGACGAAAGCUAGGGGAGCGAAAGGGAUUAGAUACCCCUGUAGUCCUAGCCGUAAACGAUGGAUACUAGGUGUUGCCCGUAUCGACCCGGGCAGUGCCGUAGCUAACGCGUUAAGUAUCCCGCCUGGGGAGUACGCACGCAAGUGUGAAACUCAAAGGAAUUGACGG